AUACGGAGGGUGCAAGCGUUGUCCGGAUUUAUUGGGUUUAAAGGGUACGUAGGUGGAUCCUUAAGUCCGUGGUGAAAGCCCGCAGCUCAACUGCGGAACUGCCAUGGAUACUGGGAAUCUUGAAUUCAGUUGAGGUUGGCGGAAUUUAUGGUGUAGCGGUGAAAUGCAUAGAUACCAUAAAGAACACCUAUUGCGAAGGCAGCUAACUGGACUUGAAUUGACACUGAGGUACGAAAGCGUGGGGAGCGAACAGGAUUAGAAACCCCAGUAGUCC
rnacentral:rRNA from 1 species